rnacentral:rRNA from 1 species
AUUGAACGCUGGCGGCAUGCUUUACACAUGCAAGUCGAACGGUAACAGGCCGCAAGGUGCUGACGAGUGGCGAACGGGUGAGUAAUGCAUCGGAACGUGCCCAGUCGUGGGGGAUAACUACUCGAAAGAGUAGCUAAUACCGCAUACGAUCUAUGGAUGAAAGCGGGGGACCGUAAGGCCUCGCGCGAUUGGAGCGGCCGAUGUCAGAUUAGGUAGUUGGUGGGGUAAAGGCUCACCAAGCCAACGAUCUGUAGCUGGUCUGAGAGGACGACCAGCCACACUGGGACUGAGACACGGCCCAGACUCCUACGGGAGGCAGCAGUGGGGAAUUUUGGACAAUGGGCGCAAGCCUGAUCCAGCAAUGCCGCGUGCAGGAAGAAGGCCUUCGGGUUGUAAACUGCUUUUGUACGGAACGAAACGGCUCUGGUUAAUACCCGGGGCUAAUGACGGUACCGUAAGAAUAAGCACCGGCCAACUACGUG